rnacentral:rRNA from 1 species
CCUUACUGCAAUUUACUAAAGGCAUUCCCUAAUAAAGGAUCCUCCUUCACGUGGCUAAGUAUUGUGGCCGGCCUGGUUACUGUCCAGAGAGGACACAUUUGGAGACUUGGCACCGGUGAACAAAUAGAUAUUUGGGAGGACCACUGGAUACUAGGAAGUCCAUCUAGAAUGGUGCAAACACCUAAAGGCCAAAUGUUGCUACAAACUGUAAGUGAUUUAAUUGAUCCUGCCACUCGAAGUUGGGAUGAGGUGCUUAUUAGGGAUGUUUUUAACCCAAUUGAUGUGGAAAGAAUCUUGCAGAUACCCAUAUGUGAACAUCUGAAUGAAGAUUUUGUGGCCUAGCAUUUUACAAAAUCAUAUAUGUUCACGGUAAAGUCGGUGUACUAUAUUGAAUGGGAUCAUGCUCAUAGACACAGGCUGACUAGAGCGGAUGGAAAAGGGACAAUUUCACGCAAUCCUGUCUGGGACAUCUUAUGGAAGCUGAAAGUGCCAAGCAAAGUAAAAAUCUUUGGAUGGAAAGCCUUGCAUGGCAUAAUCUCAGGCCUAGCAGUGUUGGCAAACAGACACAUUCCUACUUUGGGUCAAUGUCCGGUUUGCUCUUCAGGUCCUGAAGAUAUUAAGCAUCUGAUGUUCACUUGCAGUCGGGCACAAGAUGUCUGAAAAUCACUCGGUCUUCAAGACAUUAUUAUGGAGGCUACAUAUGUUGACCGAUCUGGAUCCAUAGUACUUGAAGAGUUGCUUCGUCGACAGAAUAAUAAAUCACUGGUACUUGGGAAAGUUGGGUUGAAGGAGAUGAUUACUGUGGACGCUUGGUAUAUUUGGUGGCAACGUAGAGAGUUUGUAAAAGGGGUGGUUGUGGCCCCUCCACCUCGGUUUACUUUUGCUAUUCAAGCAAUAGCAACAAACUAUGUGGGUGCUUAUACAAAAUUUGAACCACAAGCAAUAACAUGGUGCAGACCACCAAGACUAUCAUAUAAGUUGAACAUCGAUGCAUCCUUUUUUUUGGAAAACGAACAGGUGGAGCGGGUACAGUGCUACGUAAUGCAAUUGGCAAAGCUAUUGCAGGGGCUUGCUGGCCUAUCGACCGAUUACUUGAUGCAGCAAUGA